rnacentral:rRNA from 1 species
GACGAACGCUGGCGGCGUGCUUAACACAUGCAAGUCGAACGGAAAGGCCCUGCUUUUGUGGGGUGCUCGAGUGGCGAACGGGUUAGUAACACGUGAGUAACCUGCCCUUGACUUUGGGAUAACUUCAGGAAACUGGGGCUAAUACCGGAUAGGAGCUCCUGCUGCAUGGUGGGGGUUGGAAAGUUUCGGCGGUUGGGGAUGGACUCGCGGCUUAUCAGCUUGUUGGUGGGGUAGUGGCUUACCAAGGCUUUGACGGGUAGCCGGCCUGAGAGGGUGACCGGCCACAGUGGGACUGAGAUACGGCCCAGACUCCUACGGGAGGCAGCAGUGGGGAAUAUUGCACAAUGGGCGGAAGCCUGAUGCAGCAACGCCGCGUGCGGGAUGAAGACCUUCGGGUUGUAAACCGCUUUCGCCUGUGACGAAGCGUGAGUGACGGUAAUGGGUAAAGAGGCACCGGCUAACUACGUG